rnacentral:rRNA from 1 species
GACGAACGCUGGCGGCGUGCCUAACACAUGCAAGUCGAGCGGAACUGUUUUGAAAGAUUUCUUCGGAAUGAAUUUGAUUUAGUUUAGUGGCGGACGGGUGAGUAACGCGUGAGUAACCUGCCUUCAAGAGGGGAAUAACAUUCUGAAAAGAAUGCUAAUACCGCAUGACAUAUCGGAACCACAUGGUUUUGAUAUCAAAGAUUUUAUCGCUUGAAGAUGGACUCGCGUCCGAUUAGUUAGUUGGUGAGGUAACGGCUCACCAAGACCGCGAUCGGUAGCCGGACUGAGAGGUUGAGCGGCCACAUUGGGACUGAGACACGGCCCAGACUCCUACGGGAGGCAGCAGUGGGGGAUAUUGCGCAAUGGGGGCAACCCUGACGCAGCAACGCCGCGUGAAGGAUGAAGGUUUUCGGAUUGUAAACUUCUUUUAUUAAGGACGAAAAAUGACGGUACUUAAUGAAUAAGCUCCGGCUAACUACGUG